CUUAUUUUCAAUUCCAGAUCUGUUAUCAUGGAGCAGAAGUUACAUCAAAACUUUGGGAACACAUACUUCUUAUGAUCCAAUGUCCAUUUUUGGUUCUUUCUGCAAUGAUCAGCAACUCAGAGCAUCUUACUGAAUGGCUACAGUCAAUUAAAAAUUACUGGAGGAAACUUGCUAAAGUAGUACAAAACCCUGGCUCUUCUGCUUCAAAGACAAAUGACAAGAAAGCUGCGAAAGAGAGAAAUAAAUUCUACAGAGUAAGAUUAGUGUUGCAUAAGGAGCGGUACAAUGAUUUAGAAAAAUAUGUGUGUCUUGUAAAGGAAAAUUACUUCAUUAUCUAUCACUAUCACCCCUAUUCUGCGCUAACUGUAGAUCAG